UGACCACUCAAGCUUGGCUUGGUAUUGGGGUUCGCGGUCCCGCGGCUCUUAAAAUCAGUGGCGGCGCCAUCUGGCUCUAAGCGUAGUAAUCUUUCUCGCUACAGGGUCCCGGUGGAUGCUUGCCAGCAACCCCUUAUUUUCUUA
rnacentral:misc_RNA from 1 species